AUCCGUUUCUUGUUCAAAAGCAUAAUGAUUGGGUGUUCUCGCCAUUGUGUGAGGUGUACCUCCCUUAAACCUUGUUACAAUGUUGGCACAUUACUUUUCUGACA